rnacentral:rRNA from 1 species
UACGGAGGGUGCAAGCGUUAUCCGGAUUCACUGGGUUUAAAGGGUGCGUAGGUGGGCAGGUAAGUCAGUGGUGAAAUCUCCGGGCUUAACUCGGAAACUGCCAUUGAUACUAUCUGUCUUGAAUAUUGUGGAGGUUAGCGGAAUAUGUCAUGUAGCGGUGAAAUGCUUAGAUAUGACAUAGAACACCUAUUGCGAAGGCAGCUAACUACGCAUAUAUUGACGCUGAGGCACGAAAGCGUGGGGAUCAAACAGG